CUCGUAGGCGGUUCGUCACGUCGGGAGUGAAACUCGGGGCUUAACCCCGAGCCUGCUUCCGAUACGGGCAGACUAGAGGUAGGCAGGGGGAGAGCGGAACUCCUGGUGUAGCGGUGGAAUGCGCAGAUAUCAGGAAGAACACCGGUGGCGAAGGCGGCUCUCUGGGCCUUACCUGACGCUGAGGAGCGAAAGCGUGGGUAGCGAACA
rnacentral:rRNA from 1 species